UACAGAGGUCCCGAGCGUUGUUCGGAUUUAUUGGGCGUAAAGGGUGCGUAGGCGGCGGAGUAAGUUGGGUGUGAAAUCCCGGGGCUCAACCUCGGAAUUGCAUUCAAUACUGCUUCGCUCGAGUACUGGAGAGGAGGCUGGAAUUUACGGUGUAGCAGUGAAAUGCGUAGAUAUCGUAAGGAAGGCCGGUGGCGAAGGCGGCUUCCUGGACCGACACUGACGCUGAGGAGCGAAAGCGUGGGGAGCGAACAGG
rnacentral:rRNA from 1 species